AUAAUUCUACCGACAAAAAUGUGGAAAGGAAUAUAAAAUUAAGUUUUCACAUAUUUGUGUAUAAACAUCUAACAAUGAAAAUAUACGUUCCAUCGAAUAUUUGAUAAAAACUAACAUAAAUCAGUUAAUAGAUUAAAAAGAUUAUGUUCAUACGUAUACAAAUAUCAAAUACUAACCAAAUAAUAUGAAAUAUCAAUUGUACAAAGUAUAAUUUAUAAUUAAAGAAUUACUAUUUUAAUCUAAUAAUAUAUUUAGUAAAAUGUACUGCCAAUACAACUUUAAGGCUGUCAAAAGAUCAAGUAUAUUUUUAUGCUAACUAUAUUUUUGUAAAUAGUAAAACAUAAAUUAUGUAAUUUCUAUUUUGCAAGAAUGUAUUGUUUAUUACGUUCUUGUUUUCAAAAAUGUGUUCAUUUAAUAAGAAAGAUCAAAUUAAAGUAUGUCUGCAUUUGUAUUGGUCUUGUCGCAGUGCUUGAUUUUUUUGGUGUAUUCACACAUAUGUUUGAAAUUACAUAUGAUUCAAAUUUUGUGUAUCCAUAUGAAGGUGACAUUCAUGAAUUUGUAAAUGCAUUACGACAUAAUGAAAAACCUGUUGUUGAUCCUAUAAAUGAUUAUAAUUUUUCAUUUUUGAUUGAUAAUCAUGAAAAAUGCAUAGAAACUCCUCGCACUACUUUUCGUGUUGUAUAUAUAGUGAAAUCUGCAGUAGAACAUUUUGAAAGAAGGUCAGCAAUUAGAAAUUCUUGGGGUUUUGAAAAACGAUUCUUUGAUGUACCUUCAAAAACAGUUUUUAUGUUAGGCAUAUCUCCCUCUGAUGAAAUUCAAGCAAAAGUAAAAGUUGAAGCUGCAACAUACAAAGAUAUUAUACAAGCAAAUUUUAUAGAUACAUAUUAUAAUAAUACUAUAAAAACUAUGAUGAGUUUUAAAUGGUUAAUAAAACGCUGCUUGAAUUCAAAGUUUUAUAUGUUUGUUGAUGAUGAUAUAUAUGUUUCGGUAAAAAAUGUUUUAAGAUUUAUAAGAAACCCAACUAAUUAUCCUAGUUAUUUGAAAGAACCCAAGAAAUUUGAAGCUCAUAAGAGGGAAAUCAAAGAUAGUGAUAUCAGAGAAGAACCAUAUAUUAAUGAUACUGUUAUACAAAAAAAUGUUCAUAUAUUGAAUAAGCACGAUUUACCUAUGUACAACAACUUAAAAGAGAAGAUUACUGCAGAAAAAAUUAUUCAUGGAUCAGAAGAAAAAUCUCUAUAUAACAGUCUAAAUACAAUUUCUUCAAUUAUUACCAAUUUUACAGAGAAAGAUAGGGAUAGUAAUAAAACUAUGAUGAAUGAACCUUUUAGAGUGAAAAGACAAAUUUUUGAUUUUGAACUUCCAGAAGAUGUUAGACUAUUUGCAGGAUUUGUAUUUGUCUCUUCACCACAUCGUCACAAAUCUUCUAAAUGGAUUCACUGGAAAUUUAAUUUAAAUCAUCGCAACCUCUACAACAGAACCUAAACAAACGGUUCAGUUUUGGCGCGGAAUUUGGAAAAAAAUUUCUUUCGACGCAUGCGCGCUUGUCAUUACAAAAUUAUAAUUCAAAAAUUAACAAAGCAGUCACACUUUUUAAUAACUACUAACAUUCAUACAUAGACAAUUAACAAAUGGAUGAUAUGAUGCGUAGCUGUACAUGUGACAAUAUAACGCACGGUGGUAAAGAUGGUAAUAUAAUGUAUGGCGAUAUAACGCGUGGUAAUAUAACAUAGAAUAAUAAAAUAGUAAGAUGAGUCAGAUUUUGUGUAAAUAGAUAAACACUGUUUAACUUAAGUAGUAAGUUAAGCAUUUAUUAAAUAAAUAAAAAUAAAAUUAACAUCAUAACAUUGUUAAUAACGAACACCUGUAUAUAAAGCAAUUUUCUAAUGUAUACUUAUUUUUACAAACUGACAAAUAAUUGUUGACAUUUAAAAUAUGACUUUUUUGUAACAACAAAAUAUUGCAUCUCUACAAACAUGUAGCUUGCUGCCUUGCCUUUUAAAGGCGUCACGAAACGUUUUCGAUUAGCAAGGUGCAAUAAAUGCACCUUUCGCUCAGGAUCUUUACGCCAACGUGAAAGCCUUCGAAACGCAGUUGUAUUCUGCACGCAUUCAUCGAUCGAAUGCGAAUAAGUCAGUAUCUUAUAAGUUGCUCUUAAAAUCAUUCUGCGUGUGUCUUUUAAAUUAAAAAGCAAGAGUGUUUUAUUAAAUAGUAUAACAUACCAAAUAUUGCACGAAUACAUAAUCAAGUGACAAUUAUGUUCCAGUAUUAUUUUGUGUUUAGUCGACGUUUUGUGACAAGAAAAAGACGUUUCGUACACACAUACGAAUUUACUAGUAUAUAAAAUACGACGAAUAAAAUUUACUUUCAACAAGUUUCUUUAACAUGAGUAUUUAACACAGAUAGAUCAUUGGAAAAAAAUUAAUUGAAAGCAGUUAACAUUUGGUUGCAAAUUGACACGAUUUACGGCGCUUGCGUAGGUAAAACUUUCAACAUAAUGCUUUCGAGUUUUCGUAAUACCAAAAAUUUAAUGUUUAAUAAAUAAUAGACUUCAAAAGGAUGAAAAAUGAAAAUGAAAAAUUGUUAGAAAUAAGAGUAACGAGAGAAAAUAACUUGAUCUUAAUUUUUUGGAUUAUUGAUUUGAUAAAGUUUAGUUAAGUACGAAUAGAAGUUUUUUUGCAAGUGGAAUAAAAAUUUGUUAUGUAAAAUGUUAGAAACAUAUGUUGGUAAAAUCUAAGCAAUCUACAUAUAACAAACAAUAGAUCGAAGAUAAUAGUUACAUGUAGGAUGAUUUUGUUUUCAUUUGAAGAUGCAUACGACCUUCGCAAAUGACAUCAUGUCACCAAAUUAGGAUUUCUUUGCUGACACAAGCAUAUUGGCGGCUAGGCCGUACGACUGAAAGAUUUUAUGAUAAUUAAAUGAUUUCAUUUACAGACAAGCCUAUUUCUUCUUUAUUGUUCUCAUUUAAUUUAAAAAAAGCACUUCAUACAUUUAUUUUAUAAAUAGUAAUUAUGUAUAAUUAGAAAGUUACAUUUAUACCUUACAUUAAACAUUAGUAUUAUUAUUAAAAUUCAGUUUCCUGUAACUAGUAUGUAUACAAAUAUGUACAUAAAUGUAUAAUAUAUGACACAGUUUGUUGAAAAAUACUACUUUUGUAAACAGAAUAUAUAAGUACUUGUUU